rnacentral:lncRNA from 1 species
AGGAUCAGCAUGACUGUAGUGUUCCUGGCUUAACCCUGAGAGGUUGCUGUUCCCAGUGACUAUCUAGGCUGAAGCCCAUGUAGGAUUUGAAGAGACUGAUCCAGGCUUUAUGAGUGGCUGCGACCAUGCUGUCCAAUUAGUAUGGUGUCACCAAUAUAUGGAUCCAUGCGAUUGAUUAUCUGUGGAGUGUCCGGAUGGUCCAGGACCCUUCAGAUUAUAUUACGAUGGAGAACAGGAAAAUUAACCAAAACCUGGGCAAGACUGCGAAUGUGUGCUACUAUCCAUCCCAGGUGAAUGUGAACUUCUUUGGAUUCCCUUUAUUGAUGGUUCUGGAGGCCGGAGUUGGAAAUCAGUUUCACUGGGCACACAUGGAGGUGUUUGAAGGGCUGCCCGUGCCAGAGGCUCUCAGGGAGAAUCCCUUCCUUGUCUGUUCCAGCUCUACCUCCUCCUCUGCUGUGUGAGUAAAACCUCCCUCGGCCUCUUUGAUUAGGAUAAGGUGUAUUUAGUGUCUAGCAGGACAAUCCAGGAAAUUCUUCCCAUCUCAAGAUCCCUAACUUGAUCCCUUCUGCAAAGACCUGCUUUCACUCCCAUCUGCAAACACCAUUUCCGGGUUCCAGGGAUAAGCCCUGACAUCUGUGGGUGGCCGUUAUUCAGUUACCGACAGUGUGGCAUGAUGAAAAUGAAGUGUUAAAACAAGGACUGCAGUAUUGUUUAUUCCAGCAAAUGGUGAGUGGUCCAUCCUUCUCCAAGCCCUUUCUCUUCUUCUUCUCAUGGUCUCUGGCAUCUGGGAGAGUCCACGUGGCCUGGGUUGGGCUAACAGAUACCAGCAGAAGUGAUGCGUACAACUUCCGGCAACCUAGGUGCACUUGUCUCGCCCUCCCUGGGAGCAGAUCCAUCCUCAAACCUGCAGACAAGGAUAAUGCUGUAGUGGGUACUGAGAAAAAAAAAAAAAAAAAAAAGAAGGAACCUAAAGGAAAUGUUGGAGCAGAAAUACAUUUCUAUCUUAUUCAAGCUGGUAUAUUUUGGACUUCUGUUGCUACAACAGUUUCAUCUUUAUCCUAACGAAUACCCAUACAUGUAUUAGUAAAAAUAUAAAGGUGUCCAGGGAAUAAUGUCAGACUGAGGAGAAUGGGGCUUGGGGGAAGACGGGUGGCAAGAGGAUGUGUAAGGAAUACACAGUUGUAUCUGCAAAAUGUUUUCACUCUUAAGUUCAGUGGCAAACUAACGGAUGUUCUUUAUAUUAUUCUCUAUGCUUUUUUCAAUAUCUGAUUUAUUUUGCUUUAAAAAUCUAUACUAAUAGUGGAUGAGAAAAUAAAUGUCAUAGAAGGGG